AUGUUGGGACACUUCAGAAAUAAUUUUUACUUAGGAAUUUCUGCCAGGGUCCAAUUUCAUUUCCUUUUCAACCAUUUCAAGCAUGAAUAUUUGAUUUUUUUUUCCCCUUGGGUAUUUGCUCUGACUUGUAUUUUCCUUUUAAUGGUUCCUAUGUCUAGUCUUUUCCUCUCCUUUAUGUCAUCUGGAGAAGAAAGGCUGAAUAAUAUUCAUAGAGCUCAUAGAAGUGGAGUAAACAGUGUGAAUUUGAAACAUAUAAAGAUUAAAUUCUCUUGCAGAAAAAGGAACAGCAUAUCACAUUCAGGAAACAGAAGGUGGGUGUUAGUCUACAAGACUAUGCAAACUGACUAUGGAAACAGUAAAAAAAAAAAAAGUUCGAGGGGAAACACCCACAGCAACUAUAAACAUGUAAAAGAAAGCAAGUCCUUCUCAUUAGUCUGCAAUCUAUCUCCUUCCUUUCACAUCUGGAAAUGCUCAGUUAGACACAUGUCGAAACCCACAGCGUGCGCGUUUUAUCCCUAUGCAUCUGUCUGCAUCUUCCAUGGCAUUUUGCAGCCAUGUCUGUCUUUUGUUAGCAAUGGGAUGAACAAAACAAGAGCAAUAAACAUUUUAAAUCAACAACCUACCAUUUUUUUUUCUGCAUUAAAUAUGAAACAAUUGUUAUGCCUUUUCCAAAAAUAUUCUCCCACAAGGAGCCAUCAUCAGUAAUCAGAAUUAACGGAGGCGAGGGCCUCAGGAGGUCUGUUCCACACACAAACAUAUUCCAUAACCUUCAUUGUACUUAAGAACAACAUUAUGCUUUUUCUGAAUACCAUUCCAUGGUGCCACUAUAAUUAAGGGGCGUUUUGCUUAGUGUGCAGCAGGGAAGCCAGGGCUCUGUUUGCUAGGAUUGGAUCAAUUUGUGGGACAUUAAACUGGGUAUCUUUUUGUGAGUGGAUGUCUUUUUUGUGAAUCAUGCACUUGGAUGGAGAAAUUUUUUCAUUUGCAUGAACUAGUAGCAUACGCUAGCAUAAGAUUAGGUGCAGAGGUGGCAAUCACAUCUUCACCGAGGUUGAUAUUUAACACUACCUCAUCUCUUCUCUUUUUCAGCAGAGACAUUGUUA
rnacentral:lncRNA from 12 species